GAUGAACGCUGGCGGCGUGCCUAAUACAUGCAAGUCGAGCGAACAGACGAGGAGCUUGCUCCUCUGACGUUAGCGGCGGACGGGUGAGUAACACGUGGAUAACCUACCUAUAAGACUGGGAUAACUUCGGGAAACCGUAGCUAAUACCGGAUAAUAUAUUGAACCGCAUGGUUCAAUAGUGAAAGACGGUUUUGCUGUCACUUAUAGAUGGAUCCGCGCCGCAUUAGCUAGUUGGUAAGGUAACGGCUUACCAAGGCAACGAUGCGUAGCCGACCUGAGAGGGUGAUCGGCCACACUGGAACUGAGACACGGUCCAGACUCCUACGGGAGGCAGCAGUAGGGAAUCUUCCGCAAUGGGCGAAAGCCUGACGGAGCAACGCCGCGUGAGUGAUGAAGGUCUUCGGAUCGUAAACCUCUGUUAUUAGGGAAGAACAAAUGUGUAAGUAACUAUGCACGUCUUGACGGUACCUAAUCAGAAAGCCACGGCUAACUACGUG
rnacentral:rRNA from 1 species